GGGUAAUUUUCCAGCUCUAUCAAGUAAUACUCCAUUUAAUUGCUUAAUUAAGGUUUUUUGUUUCUCUUUUUCGCUCUUUUAUCAGUUCAUUGGCUUUUGAUGUUGGGCUUAAGUAAAUGGGAAAUCAUUAAUGGGCAUUGUUCAAGAUAUAAUUCUGUGUUUUUGGACUUGUGAAACGAUUUGGCUAAUAAAGAGAGUGGUUUUUUGUAUAUAGAUUGCACAUAUGUGGGCUGAUCUAUCUUUCCUAAUAAAUUUCCGAUCUGUUUCAGCAAAUCACAGUACAAAGCUAAGGCAAUUAUUCUCGCGGUCUUCGUUUUUAUAAUUUAUUUUCUUAGUGAAGGUGUAAUCAUUGUGUAAUUAUCUUUUUUCUUGAUUCGAUUUCUUUUAUUUCUAUGAUAUUUAAUCGGUGGGAGGCUGUUGCAUACCUUGCAUGCAAUAAGUAUAAAAUUUGAUGUCUUUUUCUGAGCUUUCACAACACCCCCCGCGGCCGCGGGGCCACACGGGGGCCCCCCCCUAACACAAAAAAAGUUAUUUUUAAGUGGAAAUGCUGAGUCUUUUUGUUUACAAAGGAUAUCUCUGAUUUCAGCUUGGGUAUCAGGCCUUCUUAAUUGUCAUCUAUUAAUCUUUCCAUUCAUAGUGAAGCUUAAUUGUCAACCUGUUUUGAGGUGGCCACGUGAACCAUUCUGUGUUUGUCUCUGCAUUCUCUUCUUCUAUUAAGAAAUUACAUUUCCUUUCACAACUUCAACCCAAACCAUUAAGCAAACAAACAUAUUCACGGAGGUAGUUGGUGGUUCAAAUACCAAUUUCAGGCAUCGAUACUCCAACUCUGUAUCAACAUUUUUUGGAUUGCAUAGGUUUUUUUUUUUUUGGAGUUGAUAGUAAUGAAAAAUUUCUUUAGUUUCACAUGUGCUUAUCUAUCAUUGUUACCGGGCAAUAAUUUCUUUAGUGCCCUACAUAUUUUGGCUUAUUAGAUUGGCCUUCAUUUGGUGCUUAUCUGUGAUGUUAAUAAUUGAUGGCGGACUUUCUGGGUUGCAAAUUCUCGAACAGAAUUUCUGACUUGCAAAAUCCAUUACAAAACUGAAGACAUUCCUUCUGUUUUUAACUUUUUACCUCUCCAUUGUUGGUUGUGUCAAAAGUACCAAUUUUGUUGAUUUACAUGAACUUCACAAGACAUCAAC